UGCGCCGCUAUCACGUGACCGGAGGCUGGACCGCAGGCGCGCGAGUGGGGCGGGGCGGAGCCGUGGCUCCGCCCCCUAUGUCUGCUUGCCCAACGCCCGCGAAGUGGGUGGGCUCACCUGACGCCUGUCCUGUGUGCGGGAACUCAGGAUUUCAGAUGGCCGCCCGCGGCCCGCCAGGAGGCUCAAGUGUGUCUUGUGCUGGUUUGAUUUACUCCCAGGAUUUGUCGCGUGGAAAAGAAAAUUAUGUGAAUAUGUAGAAAAACAUCUGGAAGGAUAUAUACCAUGCUGUUAAAUGCCAUUAUAUGCAACAGUGAUCGAGAAGAGUGAUAAAGAAGAUUUGCAACAACACAUGGAGUCAUCAUUGAAUUUAUUUUAUUUUAAAGGUACCUAUGUACACUGAGUAAAUACACACUGGGGUUUGUGCAGUUUGGUUUGUUUUUCCACACUGGCAUGCAACAUUUUGGCAGAUGUGAGUGGGCAAGCCAGGUACCCCUUGUGAUGAGCCUGGCUGUCUGUAAGGGAUGUGGUGAAUGUAGGGAACAGGAAGAGGCGGAAGAGGAUACAGUAUGAAGCUUCUGGUGAAAGUUGUGCAUGUGUUCUUAUUUGUAUAAGUGAAUUAUAUUUCCCUUACAUCUUGCUAAAGAGAAGGCUGCUCCCCUGUGUCACCUCUCUUUUUAUCUGCCCUACACCUUCACAUCUUUUUAAAGUGUGUUCUUUUAAAUAAUCAUUUGGUAGCAAAAUUACAUAAAAUCCCCUCGAUUCUAAGGUUUCCUGCUGGCAAAGUCCACGGGUAUUCUGGUAACUUCCUUCCUCUCUGACUGGGUCUGGGACAGCAUGGCUCAUCUACCUUACCCCAUUUACCCCAUCCCUCUUUUCUAUGAGUUAUAGGUUUGGUGUAGGAAAUCCAGAUUGUACCCCCUUCUUCAGAGCAGUGGUUUUCAAACCACUCUAUAGAACCCUUGGGAUCUCUUAGGGCUCUUCCAGGGCUCUUCAACUAAUAAAGCAUUUUCCACCAAAAAGCAAAAGAAAGAGAAAAGAAAAUGCAAACUACCCAGGUCUGCAUUAUUUCCCUUCCCACCCCCCUUUAUUUUUUAUUAAUUAAUUAAUUUAUUUAUUUGCAGUGCUGAAAAUUGAACCUAGAGCUUUGCGUGUGCUAGGCAAGCUCUACCACUGAGCUACACCCCUAGUCUAUGUUAUUUUUUACGUUGGAGUUCUACAUAAGAUUUAUUUUGAAAAGUGUUUGAAAAUCACCAGUUUGGAUUUAUUUCAGACCCCUCUGAUUUUGUCCUUAACUGCUAAAAUUGCUCAACAGGUAAAGGGAGCAAGGAUUCUUUCCUUUGAAGGACUCACAAGCCCCUGUACCCUGUAUUUACCAGCUGGCAAUCAUGCUGAACCUCUUUCCCAACUUAGAAAAAGCCAGAUGAUGGGCAUCCCUGAUGCUGAAGGUUCCUAUCUUCCAUCCAUAAAAAGGUAAAAUUAUCUGGACUCCAGACUUUACUUCUUGGUUUGGGCUGGCUAGUGACCUUCAUCCCAAAAGUUACCUGAAAAAAUACCUUAGCACCAUGUGGAAGGAAAGGAUAAUCUGGAACUCAAGCAACCAUCUUCUUAACUGUGGGAGAGGGGACACAUGGGCUCAGAAUGGCUGGGGGAAGAGCCCUGGGUCAAGCCCCCAGGCUCUGCCACCUCUGGAAAAUCUGCCCUGC